CCUACGGGAGGCAGCAGUGGGGAAUAUUGCACAAUGGGGGAAACCCUGAUGCAGCGACGCCGCGUGAAGGAAGAAGUAUUUCGGUAUGUAAACUUCUAUCAGCAGGGAAGAAAAUGACGGUACCUGACUAAGAAGCCCCGGCUAACUACGUGCCAGCAGCCGCGGUAAUACGUAGGGGGCAAGCGUUAUCCGGAUUUACUGGGUGUAAAGGGAGCGUAGGCGGUUUAGCAAGUCAGAAGUGAAAGCCCGGGGCUCAACUCCGGGACUGCUUUUGAAACUGUUGGUCUUGAGUAUCGGAGAGGCAGGCGGAAUUCCUAGUGUAGCGGUGAAAUGCGUAGAUAUUAGGAGGAACACCAGUGGCGAAGGCGGCCUGCUGGACGACAACUGACGGUGAGGCGCGAAAGCGUGGGGAGCAAACAGGAUUAGAUACCCCUGUAGUC
rnacentral:rRNA from 1 species